rnacentral:rRNA from 1 species
GUGCUGAACACAGUAACUUGGAAGAAUGUAAAUGUAUUUAAUAAAUACAAUAACGAUUAACUCGUAUAAAAUUCUAAAUAGGAUAAUGAUAAUGACAAUUUCCUAUUUAUAAGUCUUGACCAAAUUACGUGCCAGCAGUCGCGGUAAUACGUAGAAGACUAGUGUUAGUCAUCUUUAUUAGGUUUAAAGGGUACCUAGACGGUAAAUUAAACUUCUAAAUGAGUCUUUUUUCUAGAGUUUUAUGUGAGAAGGAAGAACUUCUGGAGUAGGGAUACAAAUACGCAAAUACCAGAAGGACUGAUAACGGCGAAGGCGUCCUUCUAUGUAAAAACUGACGUUGAGGGACGAAGGCUCGGGUAGCGAUAAGGAUUAGAUACCCUAGUAGUCCAAGCAGACAAUGAUGAAUGUCAUAGACUACGAUUUAAUAUUUAGUCUAUAAAUGAAAGUGUAAGCAUUCCACCUCAAGAGUAAUAUGGCAACAUAUAAACUGAAAUCAUUAGACCGUUUCUGAAACCAGUAGUGAAGUAUGU